GGGUCAGUAGGUUGGUCGUGCCACCGGUACGUACUGGUCUCACUGAUUCCUCCUUCCUGAAGAACCGUAAUGCCAUUAAUUCGGUGUUGCGGGGAAACAGGACUGUUACUUUGAAAAAAUUAGAGUGUUUAAAGCAAGCUAACGCUUGAAUACAUUAGCAUGGAAUAAUGAAAUAGGACGAUCAAUCCUAUUUUGUUGGUUUCUAGGAUUGACGUA
rnacentral:rRNA from 1 species